AAACUCGGGGUGUGGGGGUGGGGCGAGAGGCUCUCAAAGGCUUCUUGGUCCCUGAGGGCUGUCACACUAAAUGGGGAUGAUGAUGGAGGUCUGCUUUCUCUAGCCAGUGGAGGAACGUGUUCCGGCUUUUUCACUAAGGUUUGGCAUUUUUUUUUUCCGCUAUCCCGCCUCAGCCCGCUAACCCUGCUAGAAUUUCCAGUUUCACUAUGUCAAUUCCGAGGCAACUUUAGCUGUACCUCAGAUUUAGGCUUCAGGGACAAGAUAAAGAAGAUUAUUGUUCUGUUGGGUCCAGCUCUUCGUGAGCCCAUUUGGGGUUUUCUUGGCAAAGAUACUGGAAGGUUCUUUCUCCAGCUCAUUUUACGGAUGAAGAAGCUGAGGCAAACAGGGUCACACAGCUAAUUGGCAAUUUCUUGAUUGGGCCUUCUGACAGCACCCAAGCCCCAAGGACUCAUCACAUUGGUUCCUGAUUUAGUGUGGAUACUUGAUCAUCUUUAGCCCUACUGCAGUUCAGAACUCAAAAACUCAAGCAAGCCAUUAGCCUCAGUAUCCCCAGUAUCAGUGACUAAAGGGAUAUGCCACCAUAUCUGAAUAUCCUUCUAUAUUAUUACCGUGAGUUGUUUGCUUGACACAUGCUGAGAUCCUUUCAAAGUACAGUAAUGAUAUGUACUCUUCCAAAAACGAACAGUUGUAAGUAAUUUUGUAGGACUUCUUACAAUGAACAGCCUUUCCAAGGAAAAUGUUGCUUAGUUUCCCUGUACCAUUUCGAGCUCAUUCCAGCACAUCCAGAUCAUACUUCUGGUCAGAGAUCUUCAGCCAAGAGGAAUAACAGAGCACAGGACAAAAUUACUUUUAUUUGCUCAAAGACAGCUGAAACAAGAAAGUAAAAUUUGGGGUCUGGUGGGGAAUGGCUUUAGGAAUCUGGAUUUACCAGAUUGUGUGCCCAGUGUUAUAAAAGGUUACUAUUUCCUUACUCUUUUCUGUCCUACAUACAGCUUGAUAAUGACUUAAAAUAAUUAUCAAUGCUCCAGUCAACCUCAAGGUUUAAGGACAUUCAACAAAUAAUUAUUUAGGGACGAGUUUGUCAUUUUGUUGUAAAUGAAUGAAUAAAUUCACUCACUAAUGUGCUGGGAACUGUAGG
rnacentral:lncRNA from 1 species